rnacentral:rRNA from 1 species
UACGUAGGGUGCAAGCGUUAAUCGGAAUUACUGGGCGUAAAGCGUGCGCAGGCGGUGAUGUAAGACAGAUGUGAAAUCCCCGGGCUCAACCUGGGAACUGCAUUUGUGACUGCAUCGCUGGAGUGCGGCAGAGGGGGAUGGAAUUCCGCGUGUAGCAGUGAAAUGCGUAGAGAUCCGGAGGAACACCAGGGGCGAAUGCGGUCGACUGGCCGAGUGCUGACGCUGAGGCGCGACGGCGUGGGGAGCAAACCGG